rnacentral:lncRNA from 1 species
CAGCUGGAGAGAGGUGACAUGGACUUGCCUCAUGAUGGACACGUGAGUAUGAUGCAGAGGAUGUAUCGCGCUUCUGUUCUAAAGGCGGCUCUGCACAACUGGAAUGCGUAUCAGUAACAACACGAGGUAAACCACUUGUGCAGAUUCUUGCUUUAAAUUUAGAAAGGAAUUCUAUAUUGCUUGGAAUUUUCGUUUUAGUCUUUUUAGGGAAAUGUCCACACAGUCAGUUUACACCUCUGCUGCAGCUGUUCCCUUUCUGCAGUAGAUUAACCCCACACAACAACAAUAUAUAUUUAUAUAUAUAUAUAUAUGUUUGCAUCUGCUUUUUUUUUUUUUUUUUUCUCCAGUGAAUCUGUGGGUGUUGUGGAAUCUGAUCACAUGAACCUGAAACUCUGCUCGCAAAGUGCCUGGCACUUACAGCUCUUGUUGUAGUCCCUAAGGCCCAGCACACACACACUCUUGCCUUUUCUGUAGGUUUGCUGUGAACCCAGGCAGCUGCCACACAGACCUGACAACACGUCUGCUGGGGAGGGAGAUGGCAUCCAGGCUGGGGAGGCUGCUGAGCAAGGAUUUUUUGGGGCAGCCAUGGAGGAGGGAAGGGCUGUGAGAGUUACGGGGGCUACAAACAUCCCUUGCAGUUUCCCAGGAAUCCUAUAAACACACAGGCUUUCAGCUGACACUAAGACAAAACAUUCUCCACCCAGGACCUCCGCUGCCUUGGACCGUCACUGAGGGCCCAUCCCAAGCGUUUCCCAGACUUGUCAAGUAGGUAGCUUGUCAAUCAAAAACAAAACAACAACAAAAACCCACAACACAACAUCAUGAAAAAACAACCAUCAUCAACAACAAAGCACACAAACACAACAAAAACAACAACAACAGAAAACAUCACAGAACUGUUCCUAUGCGUGAGUGUGGAUGGCCUGUCUGGGGAGGCAGGGAAGUCAGAUGUCUACUUUGUCCCAGCACUGCAUCCGUUCAGUGGAUAUAAAGCAAGGAUAAAGACUUUGGAGAAGAAGGGAGAGAUGUGUGAAGAGUAUGGCACAGCAACAGCCAAAGCUUCCCCAUAGAUUUGUUAUUGCAGAUUGGAACAUCUCAAAGUAAGUCACAGUAGUGGGGAGGAGGGGUAAGAGCAAUGCAAGGUGUGAUACGUUAUAAGCAGUGAAUUACAAGGAUUAUUUAGGGCUAUAAGUAAGUCAACUGGCUCAGUUUGUUUUGUGAGCAGGAUAAAAAGGGAAGGGAGGCAGCGAGGUGGCUACUGUACUAGUGUCUGUUUCCUUCGGACUUGGCAGGACGACAGAGCUCCUCGCCUUGGGCGUUUCAAAAAUGCCAGGGUUCAGCUCUGAAAACACCAGCAAUGUUGAUUCAAUUUACUAUUUUUGUGGUUCUUAAUUUGCCUCUUGCUAUUUGGAAAUUCAGCUUGGCAAAGGUUUCCGUGCACCUGGGAAGGC